CGCGGGGUGGAGGAACGGUUACCUCGGGAGCCUCAUAAGCUUCAGGACCGGGUUCAAUUCCCGGCCCCGCAACAA
rnacentral:tRNA from 1 species